rnacentral:misc_RNA from 1 species
CAGGGUUCAAUCUCGGAGUCGUUCAAUCUUCGCCCGCGUAAGCGCGAGAAAUGUCGCGUCGACUCGCAAAGUGCGUUAAAUCGUAUUCGCGUCUCGUUGGCAUUUACUGUGGAUAAUAUACGUGUUCUACCAUCUGAUUGAUUUAUCACGCCUGUCUUAUUGCGUGGAAGGUCGUUUUCCAACAACAUAAUUUUCACACGCAACGACAGUGCACUGUGGGCCAGCAAUGGUGGGCGCGUGAUUUUGAACAAUUCGAGUUAUCGAAGGAACGCGCAAGUAUGUGCUCUUAACGACAACUAUGUGAUACUAUUUUCAACCUCCCUGAGUUUCAUUAAGCUUCUGAACGUUGACUAAAAUCGGGCCCUCUCGAUCGCAAACUGCAAUUUUGCCGUUCGACCUACGUAUCUUUCUCCGAUUCGAACGUUUUGAGGUUAUGUAUCGUAUUAUUCCAGCUUCGCGCCAUCCUGCUCAGUGAUUUCCGUAAUGGUUCGCGUAUCGACAGGUGUCGAGUCGCAACUUUGAUUAUUAAGAGUCGCAUAAUUCAUUGUUUAAAAUCAAAUUUUCGCAAGUACGCUUGAAAAUCAGUUUCGCAAAAAUGGCGCGUUUCGCUAAUAAAUGGCGCUGUUGUCCCAUAGCUUCGCGCUUCGAACUUGGUUUUUUUUUCUUACGUAUUCGAAUUUGUUCUGCAUAUUCGAAUCCACUCUCUCCAGACUUCAUUUGACUUAAUAAGUUAGUUGACAAUUGGCUCGCGACUUUUCGAAAUGCAAGUAGCUGAAUGGACACCUUUAUUUUGAUUUUAAUAACUAUUAUUUAUUUCUAUGCUGAUUAAUGGGAUUAUGGUAAUUAAGAUACAAUUAAUCUAAAUUAUUAGUAGAUUGUAAGUUUUAUGAUACUUAGAUCGCUAUUAAUGUUAUACACAUUCUGCAUAUUUCAGUAGAUAAAUAAACAGAAAUUUUUAAAACUAAAUAUUUAAACAGAUUAAUGUCCGAAUUUUUUAUUAAAUUAGUCUACAUGUUUAACAUAUAUGAUUACUCUUACAAUUAUACUGUUAACAUAUUUGUAUUAUUGUUAUAUAAUAUUUUUUCAUUUUUAUUGUUUUAAGUCUAUCGUUUUUAUGUAACUUAUUUUAUUUAUUAUAUAGGACAGAUAUAUUGAGAGCACACAUACACUUCUUAUUUUUCUAAUUAAAAAAUAACGAGAGUAUUUGUUUUUAAAUUUUAUUAAAGGAAAGAAAGUAUGUGAUUAACGUUGAAAAAAUUAUAUUUUAUAUAUUAUUAUUUGAAAAUAUGUGUUGAUAAAAAUAUAUAUUCCACUAGAAUUCUUAUAUUUAAAUAAGGAUAUAGAAUUAUGUAAAAAAGCGUUAUGUAAACAUAUUGCACUAAUAGUUUUUAAAUCUGGGUUUUUAACUGUGCUAAUGUUUCGGUCAGGUGUCACCAUGUCUACUAAUAAGGGACAAAACGCACGAGCUUUAGUAGAACCUUUAGCUUUGGAUUCGCGUACAUUGGAAGACAGCGAUCUUAGUGCAUUGAGCUUGUCCCACACCAGCGAGCAAUAUACUUCGAAUGAUUUUGAAGCUUUCGCGAAUAUUCAAGCAGAGCUUGACUGUAUGAACGCGGAGGAAGUUAUGGCAGCGGAGGAUGACCGGAUACUUGUCAAGCAAAAUAUUGAGACUGAAACAAUAGUACCUGAUGUGGAGAUGACUGAGGUCUCUGAACAAGCACAGAUUGAAAAUGUGUACACAAUGGCUAAUCAAAACAACCAAAAUAUCGUGUUUCAAACGAAACCCACUUUACAGAGAGUGCCUGUAUCGGCUGUCCAAGUGAAGCCAAGUGUCUGUCAAACCACGCAGAGCCAGUCUAUCAUGAUAGUAUCGCCUGCGAGUGGACAAGGCACCAGUCAGAUCCUUAAGAUUUCGCAUCCGUCGACGGCGUCAGCCGAACAAUUGCAGUCUUUGGCUCAGACCCUUAUAACUGGAAAAUCUACGGAUGGAAGCGUUGUUCAAUUACGGUCGAGUCAGCCUGCCAAGUCUGUUGCGACAACUAGUGCCUCUGGAAAUAUUACAAUCAGUAACGUGCAAAAUGUCAAGAUAGCGCAGCCAUCGAUAAAACGAGCGACACAGAAUGUCCAACAAGGGCGUAAUGUACAGUAUACAAAGAUGAUAUUGGCGGGAAGUCAGGCACAGUCCGGUGCGCCGCAAGUUCUCAUUACAAGUUCGCAGAGUGAAAAUCAGUCGACCCAAGGAAUCAAAUUUCUCAAUAAUAGUUCUUCGACUUACGGUGUUACAAACCCAACGAAAACUAUAACGUUGGCACAGGCCCAACAAAUAGGCAUACUCUCUACUAAUAAGGUGCAACACAUCUUGCCGUCGUCCCCGCAGAAGCAGGGCAUGAUAUUAAAUAAGUUAUUACAAUCUUCAACAUCUCAACAGUCGAAGGUGGCUAUAGUACCUACCAGCGCAGCAAAAUCACCAACAAAAAUUCUUCCUGCACCGACUAUGACUAUUCAAGGAAAAUCCUCGACAACGAAUCAGCAAUCUACGUUCGUUUCGUCCAAGUCGUCCAUGCAGCAAAGUCCCCAAAAAGUGAUCAUUAGACAGAGUUCUUUGAAACCUGGCACUGUGCUUGGAAGUGGACAAGUCAUUAGAAUACCUGCUAAUCAGAGUAUCGUGACCGGAUCUAAUCAAGUUCAUCAAAUUCAAAUGCCUGGAAGACAAGUGCAAUAUGUACGUUUAAUUAGUACUCCUUCGACAGGGACUACUAAUGUCGUUACUGUCAGCAAAUCAAAAUCUGCCACGACACUUCAGACCGUAGGAAUUAGUCAAAAAGUAGGAAAUCAGCAACAGAUUGUAAAGGUUGUACCACUAAAUACUAGUAGUCAGUCUCUAAGGACCGUUGCGCCGAAAGCAACGUUGACAAGCGGUAGCCAAAGAUUGCUCAUACCAGCGGCUACUGCUGCAACGGCUGUUGGCAAUCAAUCGAAGAGCACGGUAGCAAUUCCCGCAUCAGCGUUGAGCCAAUUAGCAUCUGGACAGGCAGUUCUGUCGACUAAUUCGAAUGUUGGGAAUAUUGUCGUUCUGCCUGCACAAUACAUUCAGCAACAGCAGUCAACAGAUGACAUAAAAUUGAAGUCGCAGCAAGGGACACCAGGUCUUUUAGGGAGUUCACAAAGUUCUACGGCAACUUUAUGCGUGAUCGAUGGAAAAGGUUCUCAAAGAGGAACUUACAGCAAUGUCGAGGCAAAUGGCAUCAGGCCGAGAAAACCAUGCAAUUGCACCAAAUCACAGUGUCUUAAGCUUUACUGCGACUGUUUCGCCAACGGUGAAUUCUGUCACAUGUGUAAUUGCAACAAUUGCUCAAAUAAUCUUGGGAAUGAGGAAGAGAGGCAACGCGCGAUUAAAUCUUGUUUGGAACGUAAUCCUAAUGCUUUUCGUCCUAAAAUCGGGAAAGGCCGUGAGACCGGUGACGAUAUAAGGAGACACAACAAGGGUUGCAAUUGCAAACGUAGUGGUUGUCUGAAGAAUUAUUGCGAGUGCUACGAGGCAAAAAUUCCAUGCUCUGAAAAUUGUAAAUGUAUAGGCUGCCGCAAUAUCGAAGAUCCGAUAUUGGAAAAGAAGUCUUUGAAAGAUCUAGCGGAAGCAGCCGAAAUGAGAACACCUCAACUGAGCUUAAACAAAGCACAGCUGCAACUAUCAGAAAUGGCCUUUAGGCCUCCAGCCACGUCCAAUACUGGAACUAGACAACCAUUUAAUUUCCUUACGGACAAAGUAGUAGAAAUAACAUGCCAAUGCUUAAUGGCACAAGCUGAUGAAGCAGAACGCAACAUGGUCGACGAUGAAACAUCCCAGCGUCUCAUCAUUGAGGAGUUCGGUCGUUGUUUAAAGGAAAUCAUUGAAUCAGCUCACAAAGCUGAGGCUACCUAGCAGUGGCUUGUAAUUCAGAUUAUUGAUUAUUUAAUAUCAAUUGAGAUAAAUGGCACUUAAUUUGGAUAAAAAGAAAAUGUACGAUACCUGGAGUACUCUGUAUUAUAUGUAUUACAAAAUGUUAAAGUCUUAAUAUUUCAAGGGUUAUAAAAUAAGUAACGUAAUAUACCGAUGGAUUUUUAAUGAUUUUGAAUGAGACUACGGCAUUACUCGAGCAACUGUAAAUGUAAUUGCAUAUUAAGAAAUAAAUAAGAUUAAUAUAUA